rnacentral:lncRNA from 1 species
AGAGCAUGGUUUCCGCGGUCAGGUUCUCAGUCUGAACUCCCACCUCACCAUUCACAGUGGCCUCACAACUGACUUUAAGCAAGCACCUUAACCUGUCUGUCACUCUUCAUCUGUAAACUGGGAAACCUUGAAAUACAAUUGGAAGCUCCUGGAUUCAAAGCCAGACACACCUGCCUGUGACUCCCAGCUUCACUGCCCCAAGUGGUGAGGACUCAGCCAGCCUCUACUUUCUGUUUGUCUGUCUAUACAGGACGGGCUCGUUCUGAUGACUGCCUGAUGUGCGGGGGGCCUGAGGGGUUGCAUACACAGCCAGCGCUGAGCAAAUGGCAGUCAUGUGACCACUUACGUUUGCAUAGUGAGCAAGUCAUAGACCAAACCCAGGACAGGCAAUUUCAGAGCUCAUGCCUUGCCUGCCCCAUUGUACCAACUCCAGGCUUCUAAUUAGAACCUAAAGAAAGCACACAGGACCCAAAGGCAAGCCAGUUUAUGAUGAAAUGUGGAAUGCUAACAAGAAAGGAAGAACACCUGCAAAACAGACAUUUUACAAAGAGAAGCACUGGCCCCACAUUCAUGCAGGCUGCCACGCUCCCUAGCAUCGAGUACAGCUAUUCAAGGGUGAAUUGAUUGAGUGUGGGAAAGGCUGAUGGGAACACAAAUGUGGGGCACUGGUAAACACAUGUGACUUGUGGAACCUUGUUUCACUUGUCUUAAAAUACUGUAUUAAAAAUCCACCACAUAUGAAAUUUCUUUUGAUUUGCU